UGGGGAAUAUUGGACAAUGGGCGAAAGCCUGAUCCAGCAAUGCCGCGUGUGUGGAGGAGGUCUUCGGAUUGUAAAGCACUUUCGACGGGGACGAUGAUGACGGUACCCGUAGAAGAAGCCCCGGCUAACUUCGUGCCAG
rnacentral:rRNA from 1 species